GCCACGUUAACUCAGCGGCCAGAGUGCUCGCCUGUCUAGCGAGGAGUCACGGGUUCGAGUCCCGUACGUGGCGCCA
rnacentral:tRNA from 1 species